rnacentral:rRNA from 1 species
AUUGAACGCUGGCGGCAGGCCUAACACAUGCAAGUCGAACGGUAACAGGAAACAGCUUGCUGUUUCGCUGACGAGUGGCGGACGGGUGAGUAAUGUCUGGGAAACUGCCUGAUGGAGGGGGAUAACUACUGGAAACGGUAGCUAAUACCGCAUAACGUCGCAAGACCAAAGAGGGGGACCUUCGGGCCUCUUGCCAUCUGAUGUGCCCAGAUGGGAUUAGCUAGUAGGUGGGGUAACGGCUCACCUAGGCGACGAUCCCUAGCUGGUCUGAGAGGAUGACCAGCCACACUGGAACUGAGACACGGUCCAGACUCCUACGGGAGGCAGCAGUGGGGAAUAUUGCACAAUGGGCGCAAGCCUGAUGCAGCCAUGCCGCGUGUAUGAAGAAGGCCUUCGGGUUGUAAAGUACUUUCAGCGGGGAUGAAGGGAGUAAAGUUAAUACCUUUGCUCAUUGACGUUACCCGAAGAAGAAGCACCGGCUAACUCCGUG